AACGAACGCUGGCGGCAGGCUUAACACAUGCAAGUAGAGCGCGUAGCAAUACGAGCGGCAGACGGGUGAGUAACGCGUGGGGAUGUGCCUGGUGUACGGAACAACUCAGGGAAAACUUGAGCUAAUACCGUAUAAGCCCCUUUGGGGGAAAGAUUUAUCGCCACCAGAUCAACCCGCGCUGGAUUAGCUUGUUGGUGAGGUAACGGCUCACCAAGGCGACGAUCCAUAGCUGGUCUGAGAGGAUGAUCAGCCACACUGGGACUGAGACACGGCCCAGACUCCUACGGGAGGCAGCAGUGGGGAAUAUUGGACAAUGGGCGCAAGCCUGAUCCAGCCAUGCCGCGUGAGUGAUGAAGGCCUUAGGGUUGUAAAGCUCUUUCACUGGGGAAGAUAAUGACGGUACCCAGAGAAGAAGCCCCGGCUAACUUCGUG
rnacentral:rRNA from 1 species